AGGGUUGUGAGGUUAAGUGAAUAAGCGUACACGGUGGAUGCCUAGGCAGUCAGAGGCGAUGAAGGACGUGCUAAUCCGCGAAAUGCGCCGGUGAGCUGAUAUGAAGCGCUAUCAGCCGGCGAUGUCCGAAUGGGGAAACCCAGUGCAAUUCGUUGCACUAUCAUUACGUGAAUCCAUAGCGUAGUGAGGCGAACCGGGGGAACUGAAACAUCUCAGUACCCCGAGGAAAAGAAAUCAACCGAGAUUCCCCCAGUAGCGGCGAGCGAACGGGGAACAGCCCAGAGUCACCAUCAGCUUUUGCAUCAGGAGAACGGUCUGGAAAGUCCGGCAACACAGGGUGAUAGCCCCGUAUCCGAAGGCGCAGAAGCUGUGAGCUCGAUGAGUAGGGCGGGACACGUGAUAUCCUGUCUGAAGAUGGGGGGACCAUCCUCCAAGGCUAAAUACUCCUGACUGACCGAUAGUGAACCAGUACCGUGAGGGAAAGGCGAAAAGAACCCCGGCGAGGGGAGUGAAACAGAACCUGAAACCGUGUACGUACAAGCAGUGGGAGCCUUGAUUUAUCAGGGUGACUGCGUACCUUUUGUAUAAUGGGUCAGCGACUUAUAUUCUGUAGCAAGGUUAACCGUUUAGGGGAGCCGUAGGGAAACCGAGUCUUAACUGGGCGUCAAGUUGCAGGGUAUAGACCCGAAACCCGGUGAUCUAGCCAUGGGCAGGUUGAAGGUUGGGUAACACUAACUGGAGGACCGAACCGACUAAUGUUGAAAAAUUAGCGGAUGACUUGUGGCUGGGGGUGAAAGGCCAAUCAAACCGGGAGAUAGCUGGUUCUCCCCGAAAGCUAUUUAGGUAGCGCCUCGUGAAUUCAUCUUCGGGGGUAGAGCACUGUUUCGGCUAGGGGUCCACCCCGGAUUACCAACCCGAUGCAAACUGCGAAUACCGAAGAAUGUUACCACGGGAGACACACGGCGGGUGCUAACGUCCGUCGUGAAGAGGGAAACAACCCAGACCGCCAGCUAAGGUCCCAAAGUCAUGGUUAAGUGGGAAACGAUGUGGGAAGGCACAGACAGCCAGGAUGUUGGCUUAGAAGCAGCCAUCAUUUAAAGAAAGCGUAAUAGCUCACUGGUCGAGUCGGCCUGCGCGGAAGAUGUAACGGGGCUAAACCAUGCACCGAAGCUGCGGCAGCGAUNNNNNNNNNNNNNNNNNNNNNNNNNNNNNNNNNNNNNNNNNNNNNNNNNNNNNNNNNNNNNNNNNNNNNNNNNNNNNNNNNNNNNNNNNNNNNNNNNUCGUUGGGUAGGGGAGCGUUCUGUAAGCCUGCGAAGGUGGCCUGUGAGGGCUGCUGGAGGUAUCAGAAGUGCGAAUGCUGACAUAAGUAACGAUAAAGCGGGUGAAAAGCCCGCUCGCCGGAAGACCAAGGGUUCCUGUCCAACGUUAAUCGGGGCAGGGUGAGUCGACCCCUAAGGCGAGGCCGAAAGGCGUAGUCGAUGGGAAACAGGUUAAUAUUCCUGUACUGGGUGUGACUGCGAAGGGGGGACGGAGAAAGCUAGGUUCGCCGGGCGACGGUUGUCCCGGUUUAAGCGUGAAGGUGGAAAGGGCAGGUAAAUCCGCUCUUUUAUUCAACACCGAGGCGUGAUGACGAGCCACCACGGUGGUGAAGGAAUUGAUGCUACGCUUCCAGGAAAAGCCUCUAAGCUCCAGGUCACAUCGAAUCGUACCCCAAACCGACACAGGUGGUCAGGUAGAGAAUACCCAGGCGCUUGAGAGAACUCGGGUGAAGGAACUAGGCAAAAUGGUGCCGUAACUUCGGGAGAAGGCACGCUGGCGUUAGGUGGAGGGACUUGCUCCCCGAGCCGAAGCCAGUCGCAGAUACCAGCUGGCUGCAACUGUUUAUUAAAAACACAGCACUGUGCAAACACGAAAGUGGACGUAUACGGUGUGACGCCUGCCCGGUGCCGGAAGGUUAAUUGAUGGGGUUAUCCGCAAGGAGAAGCUCUUGAUCGAAGCCCCGGUAAACGGCGGCCGUAACUAUAACGGUCCUAAGGUAGCGAAAUUCCUUGUCGGGUAAGUUCCGACCUGCACGAAUGGCGUAAUGAUGGCCAGGCUGUCUCCACCCGAGACUCAGUGAAAUUGAACUCGCUGUGAAGAUGCAGUGUACCCGCGGCAAGACGGAAAGACCCCGUGAACCUUUACUAUAGCUUGACACUGAACAUUGAGCCUUGAUGUGUAGGAUAGGUGGGAGGCAAUGAAGUGUGGACGCCAGUCUGCAUGGAGCCAACCUUGAAAUACCACCCUUUAAUGUUUGAUGUUCUAACUCCGGCCCAUUAUCUGGGUCGAGGACAGUGUCUGGUGGGUAGUUUGACUGGGGCGGUCUCCUCCUAAAGAGUAACGGAGGAGCACGAAGGUUAGCUAAUCACGGUCGGACAUCGUGAGGUUAGUGCAAAGGCAUAAGCUAGCUUGACUGCGAGAGUGACGGCUCGAGCAGGUGCGAAAGCAGGUCUUAGUGAUCCGGUGGUUCUGAAUGGAAGGGCCAUCGCUCAACGGAUAAAAGGUACUCCGGGGAUAACAGGCUGAUACCGCCCAAGAGUUCAUAUCGACGGCGGUGUUUGGCACCUCGAUGUCGGCUCAUCACAUCCUGGGGCUGAAGUAGGUCCCAAGGGUAUGGCUGUUCGCCAUUUAAAGUGGUACGCGAGCUGGGUUUAGAACGUCGUGAGACAGUUCGGUCCCUAUCUGCCGUGGGCGUUGGAAGAUUGAGAGGGGCUGCUCCUAGUACGAGAGGACCGGAGUGGACGCACCACUGGUGUUCGGGUUGUCAUGCCAAUGGCAUUGCCCGGUAGCUACGUGCGGAAGAGAUAACCGCUGAAAGCAUCUAAGCGGGAAACUUGCCUCGAGAUGAGUCUUCCCUGUGACCUUGAGUCACCUGAAGGGACGUUAAAGACGAUGACGUUGAUAGGUCGGGUGUGUAAGCGCAGCGAUGCGUUGAGCUAACCGAUACUAAUGACCCGUGAGACUUAACCUUACAACACCUAAGGUGUU
rnacentral:rRNA from 1 species